GCUAAACUAGUGGAAAGGUCCGGCAGCACAAUUGAUGGGAGGGAGUUCAGACCCUGGUUUUGCAAAUGUCAAAGGUUUCUGGUGGCUGUGGAGGAGUUAGGAUUCUCUCCGUUUGAGCUUUAGGACCUACAGCAGGGAUCUUUGGUGCCAGUUAUACGGUGCCUUAGUGCACUCAAACUUCAUUUGAUUUUGGUUUUUGGGAAGAGAACACUAAAAAUGAAACAAAGACAGGAGGGGAGUUGUUGGAGAUAGAAUAUUCACGGAAAAUUUAUCGUAAUCAAUCAUUCAAGAGAUACGGACAACAGGGUACUCAAAAUAGAGAAGGGCCACAAGGAAAUUCAGAUGUCUCAACUUCUGAAGUGAGUUCCACCAGCUUUUCUAGAACAAUUGAAGCAGGGGACUACUGUGGAUCUCUGUGAUGUCAAGAUUUUGGAAUCGAUCAAAUAAACCAGUUUACAUGUAAACCAUUGACUUUUAUUUUAUUUUAUUUUUUUUCCCGUUUUCCGUUCCUUGUUAUAAG